rnacentral:rRNA from 1 species
GGGCUUAAAUGUAGAGUGCAUGAUGUGGAAACAUGUCUCCCUUCGGGCUCUCUGCAAGGUGCUGCAUGGUUGUCGUCAGCUCGUGCCGUGAGGUGUCGGGUUAAGUCCCAUAACGAGCGCAACCCUUAUCGUUAGUUGCCAGCGGGUAAAGCCGGGGACUCUAACGAAACUGCCGGUGUAAACCGAGAGGAAGGUGGGGAUGACGUCAAAUCAGCACGGCCCUUAUGUCCAGGGCUACACACGUGUUACAAUGGCCGGUACAGAGGGCAGCUACCUGGAGACAGGAUGCGAAUCUCGAAAGCCGGUCUCAGUUCGGAUCGGAGUCUGCAACCCGACUCCGUGAAGCUGGAUUCGCUAGUAAUCGCGCAUCAGCCAUGGCGCGGUGAAUACGUUCCCGGGCCUU